rnacentral:sRNA from 1 species
AUUAUUUUUUUCUAACCUAACCGCUACCGCCCGCAACCGCAAACGCUUGCGGAAAGGAGCUUUUGAAAUCCGGCGAUUUCGAGCGGUCCAAAGCGGUAUUUAGCGGUUUCUAUGAUUGGUGCCAAUCGCUAACAACCGCUACCACCCGCAAACGUAGCAUUUGCGGGUGAAAGAGGGAGAACCAAUCAAGCCCUAACUAAUCUUAAUACAAUAAUUUAAACAGCUAAAUCAAAGUCAAAAUUUGUAGGUAAGGA